CCCUUAGAUGUCCUGGGCUGCACGCGCGCUACACUGAUGUGUCCAGUAAGCACCUAACCUCUUUCGAAAGGAACGGGUAACCUUUGCAAAGCACAUCGUGAUGGGGAUAGAUUAUUGCAAUUAUUAGUCUUGAACGAGGAAUUCCUAGUAAGCACAAGUCAUCAGCUUGUGUUGAUUACGUCCCUGCCCUUUGUACACACCGCCCGUCGCUCCUACCGAUUGAAUGUUCCGGUGAGCUCUUCGGACUGCGCGGUCUGCAGUUUCUGCGUUCCGUGCGGAAAGUUGCGCAAACCUUAACAUUUAGAGGAAGGAGAAGUCGUAACA
rnacentral:rRNA from 1 species